UACAGAGGGUGCAAGCGUUAAUCGGAAUUACUGGGCGUAAAGCGUGCGUAGGUGGUUCUUUAAGUCAGGUGUGAAAUCCCUGGGCUCAACCUAGGAACUGCAUUUGAUACUGAAGAGCUAGAGUGUGGUAGAGGAUGGUGGAAUUCCCGGUGUAGCGGUGAAAUGCGUAGAUAUCGGGAGGAACAUCAGUGGCGAAGGCGGCCAUCUGGACCAACACUGACACUGAGGCACAAAAGCGUGGGUAGCAAACAGG
rnacentral:rRNA from 1 species